UCUCGGCAAAUUAUCCUCAUAAGUUUGACGAUAAGAGAAGCCAUAUAAAAUUUUAAAUUAACCAUAAUUUAAAUAAUUAUAUGGUAUAAUAAAAAUGGAGGCCACGACUGUUUACUAAAAACAUAAUUCAGAGCAAUAAUUAAGAUAAUAGUAUUCUGAAUGAAAUUUGCUCAAUGCCAUUAAUAUAAGUGAGGUAAUUUAAAAGUUACUAAACGAAAAUCUGGUUAAUAGCGGUCUUAACUAUGAGGAUCCUAAGGUAGCAAAAUAAGUUGGCCAUUAAAUGUGGUCUUGUAUCAAUAAUGUAACGAUGGUCUCACUGUCUCUACAACUUGCUCAGUGAAAUUGAAUUGCGAGUGCAGAUGCUCGCUAUCUUCAGAGGGACGGGAAGACCCUAUGCAGCUUCUACUGA
rnacentral:rRNA from 1 species